rnacentral:lncRNA from 1 species
AUAAAUCGCUUUUGCUUAUAUCAUGGUUAAGUCAUCGUUCAUUCCUGGAUCCCUGUGCCACUUGCACGCCGUGUUCUGAAUUCAAACAUAAUUCAAACUCGGUUCAUCUGACAUACCCGAAGGGGCAUCCUUACAGUGGUGACGGCGGCCGGCGACCUUACAGUGGGAUCAAUGAAAAAUAAAUACAAUUUAUGAAAUUCAUUUAAUAUAUAACUUAGAAUUACUUGAGUAAUACAAAGGUUUGAAAAAAAUUUUUUCAUCAAUUAUUUACAGAAAAAAUAUUUAAAAUCUGAAUAAUAUUAAAUGAGGUAAUAUUGUAUUAUUCUAAAAUAUGUGAAUCUUUUCUUUGAUUAUCCAAUAAUAUUAAUUCAAUAUUGACAUUUUCAAUAGGCUUAGUUUUUUAUUUCUAGUAUGAUUAAUAAUGUAUGUUUUAACCUAAUUAGAUAAUAUAUGAGAGAGUUAUUAGAAUAACCAGCAAUUUUUUGACAGUAUACAUUAAUAAUAAAAGUUCAUAAAGCUCUUAAGACAUUGUCCUAUAGUGCUAAAGGGGUUGUUUUACCAAGAAGAUACUAUAGAAGUUCUUUUGCGAGAUAUAUCUUAACUUUAAUCGUAGCCAAAGCAUGGCUGAUCCAGCUGGCCUAUCAAGUAGAAGAUCCUAACCUUGGCCUCCUGUGCACAAUGUUGCUGUAGCAACUAGUAAUAGCCGAAAUAGGCAGUGUCAAGUACUGCACACAACUGGUCCUGAAAGAUCAGAAAAGACAACCCACAACAAAAGCAAAGUUCAAUGAUGGUAAAUUCUCCCACUACACGAGGAACCUUUGUAAGUCAAUUCACCUAUGACAAAACUGAUGACUGGCUGAGUGCACUAUGCAUAAGUUCAUUGCUUGUAUCUGCAACUUUAACAACAACUAGGUCUAGGAAAGAUAUUGUUCCUAGUGAUGAGGUGAGCAUUCAAAACAUAUGUCACUCUUGUUGUCUUGCCAAUCAUGGAUAAUCAAAAAUGGAUGAGAUCUCUCCUCUGCUUCAUAUCCUGAUGCAGUCUAUAUGCAGCCUGUAGACUGCCACAGGCCAUCAUGGGGACAAAAUUGAUUGAUGCCAUGCUUUGGUGCUUUCCUAUGGCCAAAUAUCAUUUGGGGCAACUAAUCGAAAUUUUCAGAAUGCCAUAGGUG